rnacentral:rRNA from 1 species
CAGUAGGGAUCUUCCGCAUGGACGAAAGUCUGACGGAGCAACGCCGCGUGAGUGAUGAAGGUUUUCGGAUCGUAAAACUCUGUUAUUAGGGAAGAACAAAUGUGUAAGUAACUGUGCACAUCUUGACGGUACCUAAUCAGAAAGCCACGGCUAACUACGUGCCAGCAGCCGCGGUAAUACGUAGGUGGCAAGCGUUAUCCGGAAUUAUUGGGCGUAAAGCGCGCGUAGGCGGUUUCUUAAGUCUGAUGUGAAAGCCCACGGCUCAACCGUGGAGGGUCAUUGGAAACUGGGAAACUUGAGUACAGAAGAGGAAAGUGGAAUUCCAUGUGUAGCGGUGAAAUGCGCAGAGAUAUGGAGGAACACCAGUGGCGAAGGCGACUUUCUGGUCUGUAACUGACGCUGAUGUGCGAAAGCGUGGGGAUCAAACAGGAUUAGAUACCCUGGUAGUCCACGCCGUAAACGAUGAGUGCUAAGUGUUAGGGGGUUUCCGCCCCUUAGUGCUGCAGCUAACGCAUUAAGCACUCCGCCUGGGGAGUACGACCGCAAGGUUGAAACUCAAAGGAAUUGACGGGGCCCC